UCGAAUCAGAGCUAUAGCUGCCAGCCUAUACCAGAGCCACAGCAAUGCGGGAUCCAAACCACAUGUGCAACCUCUACCACAGCUCACGGCAACUCUGGAUCCUUAACCCACUGAGCAAGGCCAGGGAUCACACCUGCGUCCUCAUGGAUGAUUGCAAAUGUAUUUAAUGGUGCUCAAUUGUAAAUUUUCUCACGCUUAAAAUGAGAACAAUCAUGAGGUAUAAUGUAUAGUCUCCCCCCAACACACACACAAAAACAACUUUUAAAAAUCUCUAGAAAAGAAAAGUAUUGGCAUUUUUAGGACUAUGAGCAAGUUAUUUAUUUAUAUAAUUGUCUUGGUAGUUUAAAUUGUAAGCUUUCUAAAGCAUCUACGUCAGGGUAAUCUCAUUCAGGUAACUAAAAUUAGAAGUGCUUACUCAGUAAUUAAAUUUUUUUUUCCAUUUGUGUAGGUCAUGUCAUAAAUCCAGUCUAAGACUCUAAUGAAAGCUGGCUCACCAGAAAAAUAAAUUCCUCUACACACACACACACACACACACACACACACACACACACACACUGUUGUAGGGAAUUCAAAUACUCUCUAUGUUCUAUAAAUCAGACUCAGAUUCAGAACAUUUAAGUGACCUUCUCACACAGAGAUGAGGUUCUAAUGAAGAGACAUAAAAGUCACUCAAUACCCCAGACAUGAAGGUAGUUGUAUAAUAUUUCCUUCUCCACUGGAAGUAUGAGAUAUAGUAACAUAUGCUAAUACUUGGAUUGAAAGUAAAAUUUCAUUUGGUUCUACCACAUAUUCCUUUACUGUCAUUUUCUAUUUAAAAGAAAAAAACCCAGGAGGAGAAAAAGGUUACUUUCUGUGGUUCUAACUAAUUUUUGAACUUUUCUAGAAGUAGAAAUACUUACUGAUGAUACAUCACAUGCUUUAAAAUAAUACACUUGACAUUUCAAGAAUUUGUUUAGCUUGAUUUUGACUGACAUGCAUAUGUUGCAUAGCCUGUGUCAUUCAAAUCCUUCUAACCACCUCCUUCAAAGUUACCUGAUAAUCAUUAAUAUUUGUCAUCUGCAUAUUCACUCUAAACACAUUUGGUGAUUCAAUUCGCAAAUUUGGUCUUGCUGUAAAUUCUUAUAUAGAAUUACCCAUAAUUACCGUAUAAUUACUUCUUCACUGUAUUCCUCACAGACGUCAGUCAGAUUUAUCAAGUGUAGACUUAAUAUCAUCUAAACUUUAUUGCCGUAACUUCAAGUACUAGGGGAUGUCUUAUAGUACAAAGCCAUUAGCACUAACUGCUCAUGAAACUUGGUGCCUUAGAGAAACUCAUGGACUUGCAGUCAUUUCUCAGGAGCUAAAAAGCUGUGAUUACCAGUGUGUUUCAUGUUCACCUUCUUAUUUCUCACACACAAUCAUUUAUUUUAUCUCCGAGGUUACAAACAUAGCACUACUCAGUUAUUUACUCUUCAUAAACCAUCUAGUCCCACUUAUGUAUAUCAAAUCAUAAUAGAGAUUAUGAUACAUGAAUGCUUAUAAUAGGCUUAUUAAAACAGGUCGUUACAUUCUUAUUAUUGUUCAAUAUUGACAUCAACAAACUGAGUGACAAUAAAGUGAUUGUCUCAGAACAUGUCAUAAAAAGGCACAAAAGAACAUAAUAAAAUGUUAUUAUGCACCAUAAGGAAAAUAAAUAGUUUGGGGAAUGAAACAGUUGAACCACUAAAAAUGUUGUGAGAAUGAUAAAAAAAAAAAGUCCUUUGUGGCCAAAAUAUAAUAUCAGAUAAAAUCAUGACAUAAAAACUACAUUGGAAAUUAAACUAGUUUCAAAACUUGAAACCAUAUAAAAGUUUAGAUAGCUGGAGAAAAUAUAUUUAAAUUUGUUAUACUCAAACACACAUAAAUGAAUAUUGUAGUUUUUUUAUUAAACCAAAAAUACUGCAUUUCAUGAUUCCAUUUGUAAGAUAGUGUGUAUUAACUUGGACAAAGAUGAGUUUAGAUGUGUGAAUGACUCGCAGUGAUGACGCUUGAGAUAAAACAGUUGAUGGUAUUUCAAUAGUGAAUGGAGGUCUUAAAUACCUUCUCCAGUGUUCAUGAGUCACAACUGAAAAGGAGGAUCAAUUGCAAUCUAAAAGAAUGCCCUUUGAAGAACAGACAGAAGGUAUGAUUGUCUGUAACAAAGUAUGUCCGGAUAUGGGUCCAAUUCUAGUCUCCUCUCCUGAUUUAAGAGUCAGUCUUCCUUGGUUGAUGAAACUGCUAGAGACAAGAUCUUUGACAAUUAAGUUCCUUUUGGAGGAUCUGUUUUGUGUUUCGGUGGACUAAGGGGAGGCCACUGUUAGAGGAUAAACCGAGGCACACUAAACUUUUAAAGAGCUUAUCUUAGCAGGGCAGCCAGUACCAAAGUUUCAAUACCAAACUGAAAGGCAUUAGAGCUCAGGAAAUGCUUAUAUAGAGCAGACACGGAAGUAAAAGUGGUUGCCUUAUUUUGGGAAGUUUAGUUGUGUGUUUGUGAUUGUUUGUUUUUAGGUGUGAUUUCUUAACCUUGAAGCAUUUACAGGAAUUUAUUCUGGCUAUGGUUUCCAUUUGCUCCUGCAGGCUGCCAGGUCAUCAGAGGCCUCAGCCUAAUGGUCUUUUUUAAUCACUUGAACAAGAUAAAGCUUCAUACCACUUUUGCUGUUUUUCAAGUGCCUAUAACUCAAAAUUAUCAAUAUACCAAAGUGGCAUAUUUUGGGGUGGCAUAUUCUUCUAUCCUUUCACCUAAAGAGAAAAGCAGAACAGAUAGGGAAAUUGUGCUUGGUUAGAAGUCUGACGGCAUAUAUUAUAAUCGAUAUUGGAUAUCAGGCCAGAGUAUGGCUUUAGUACGUGUGUUCAAGGAAUAUUUGUACUGAAAGUUUUGUGGGAAAAAAAUUCGAUCUCAGAUCAGUUUGGUCCUAUAUCUUACACUAGGACCAGCAAGUUUAUAUCAGCUUUGAAAGUCCUAUUAGAAAAACUUUUAACUUCAUUAGCCUACUAUUUCCCAUUCUCAUUUAU
rnacentral:lncRNA from 1 species